UGCAAGUCGAACGAGAAUCUACUGAAGGAGGAUUCGUCCAACGGAAGUAGAGGAAAGUGGCGGACGGGUGAGUAACGCGUGAGGAACCUGCCUUGAAGAGGGGGACAACAGUUGGAAACGACUGCUAAUACCGCAUGAUGCAUAGGGGUCGCAUGAUCUUUAUGCCAAAGAUUUAUCGCUUCAAGAUGGCCUCGCGUCUGAUUAGCUGGUUGGCGGGGUAACGGCCCACCAAGGCGACGAUCAGUAGCCGGACUGAGAGGUUGAACGGCCACAUUGGGACUGAGAUACGGCCCAGACUCCUACGGGAGGCAGCAGUGGGGAAUAUUGGGCAAUGGGCGCAAGCCUGACCCAGCAACGCCGCGUGAAGGAAGAAGGCUUUCGGGUUGUAAACUUCUUUUAAGAGGGAAGAGCAGAAGACGGUACCUCUAGAAUAAGCCACGGCUAACUACGUGCCAGCAGCCGCGGUAAUACGUAGGUGGCAAGCGUUGUCCGGAUUUACUGGGUGUAAAGGGCGUGCAGCCGGGUCUGCAAGUCAGAUGUGAAAUCCAUGGGCUCAACCCAUGAACUGCAUUUGAAACUGUAGAUCUUGAGUGUCGGAGGGGCAAUCGGAAUUCCUAGUGUAGCGGUGAAAUGCGUAGAUAUUAGGAGGAACACCAGUGGCGAAGGCGGAUUGCUGGACGAUAACUGACGGUGAGGCGCGAAAGUGUGGGGAGCAAACAGGAUUAGAUACCCUGGUAGUCCACACUGUAAACGAUGAAUACUAGGUGUGCGGGGACUGACCCCCUGCGUGCCGCAGUAAACACAAUAAGUAUUCCACCUGGGGAGUACGAUCGCAAGGUUGAAACUCAAAGGAAUUGACGGGGGCCCGCACAAGCGGUGGAUUAUGUGGUUUAAUUC
rnacentral:rRNA from 1 species